UUUCCUUCUCUUUAAAGAAAAAAUAUAGCAGCUCAGAUGGCAUUUGGCCAGCUCAAAUGACAGCUUUCUCCCUUUGGGUCUGGACUGGUUUUCAUCUCAGACAAAUUAGUUUGCUGUUGAUGAAUAUCGCACUGAGCUUUGGCAAACUCCUUGCUGACGGGAUGGAGGUCCCACGGCGUCGGGGGCUCUCAUGCUCCCAGACACAGGAGCUCCUUCGUCUGUGUGCCACGAUGGGGGCUCAGGACCAUCGCCACUCGCUGCAAGGAAGGGAUCUUGGAGAGCUUUGAGUCGACCUUUGGUCCUUGCUCAUAUCCCCAGUGGAGGACCAGCCCUGGCUACUGGCUUGUGAUGUCUCCAGAAGAGCUGAAAUCCAUCAUUUUCCAGCUGCAGGCUGCCCAACUUGGGUGCUUAGUAAUAAAAUGCUUCCCCAAGGAAGGGCAGAGGAUCCUUAACCCUCUUGCAGCGGUGCUGCCGGCAGCGAGCCGUGGACCUGGCAUCCAAUGCCCUAUCGAAACCAGCUCCUGCUGCUCCUGGGCUGGCCAAUAUUUUAUCCAGCAUGUAAGGUGGACUGAGACUUCAUUACUGACUUCCUCUCUCGACAAGGACGCUGCGCUGCAAAGUAAGGUGACGUGAAUCCAGCUCGUGAGCGCGGUCUUUUCCCCCAGGUUAAUCAAAUCAUGAGAAACGGUAGCGUACUUCUGGGAAUGCUCCCACGGUACCGGGAAACCCCAUUUGUCUCAGCGCGUCCCAGAAUAUUUGCUUUCUUCCACUAUGUACGUACAGAAGUUAAAUGGCAAAUUGAAUUUUCGAAGUAGUUUGCUUGUUUUCUGUGGUUAUUAACAACAGACCAAUGAGUCUUCUGGGUUUAUUUUUCUGACUUCUGCUGUGUAUAUUUUCCUCCUUUUUUAAUCUAGACUAUUCAGUUUUGGUUUUUGUAUGUAAUAAGUUGACUUGCUUUGGGGGGGGAGGGGUGUGGGAAAAAAACCUAAUCUUACAGUUUUAUUUUUUCUUGCUGGGUCUUUGCAAGCCACUGAAGGAUUAUAUAGUGCAUGUUUUAUUACUAUAUAACAGUACUCAUAUUCUGCUAGAGCUAUCCUGUAGUUGCAUUGUUGAGUGUUAUUGUAACACUUAAUACUAUUUACUGUCUUAUGAACUAUGUAUCUCCCUAUAUGGACUUAACUUUAUACGCAUUUCUCAUUAAAAAGGAACUUUAUAGCUUUUGCACUUGCCCUUCUUUUGUAGAGGUUUUUUUAACCAGCAUGCGUGACGUAUGUGUAUUUUGCACGCAUGUGGGCACACUGACACCUUGUGCUAUGUGCUCGUUGGUGUGAUUCUGGCUGACACAAACCUGGCACUGCUUUUAAGGAAUUUCUAUGAGAGGUGAGUGAAAACAGUAGGGUUUUUAAGGCUCAUUGAUUGUUCAGAACUACUGAAAUAAUCAUCAUUAAAUCAAUUUUGCUUCUCUCUUCUGUGGUACUCCUUGAAGACCCUUACAAAAGAGGCAUUGCUAAGUUAGGGAAUUUUCUUUCCAGAAUCAAGCCAGUUCCAAGCAAAUAGAGAGAAUCAGUAUUCACCAAAACACAUCAGUUCAAAGUAGGUUUUUUGACAGGCGUAAAUAAGCAUAUGCUCAAAU
ensembl:lncRNA